rnacentral:rRNA from 1 species
GUUAUUAAUACAAUACUUUCCGCCAGAGAACUACAAGUGAAAAACUUGAAACUCAAAGGACUUGACGGUGUCCCAUAUCGACCUAGAGGAGCCUGUCCUAUAAUCGAUACCCCCCGUUCCACCCAACCUCAACUAGCAAAAUAUCAGCCUAUAUACCGCCGUCGACAGUUUACCCUAUGAAGGCCCAAUAGUAGACACAAUAGCCCAUAACGCUAAUACGUCAGGUCAAGGUGUAGCAGAUGUUGAGGAAGAGAUUGGCUACAUUUUUUAUAAUAAAAAACACGAAUUGCACUAUGAAAAACUGCAUGAAGGUGAAUUUAGUAGUAAAACAGAUAAGAGUGUCUGUUUUAACAACGCUCUGGGACGCGU